AUGGAGUGCACCCUUAAGACUGUGUUUUGGAACGUCCGUGCCCUUCACUCUAGAGCUAAGCGUACCGUAGUCCGCUCUCUAAUUUCUUCGGUUUCCCCGAACAUUAUGUGACUUCAAGAAACGAAGCUCGAUUCCUUUUCGUUGCCCCUCGUUGUUGAGACGCUUGGUCCUUGCUUCUUGGAUUUCUUCUUCCUCCCGGCCAUUGGCACCCGUGGUGUCAUCCUGCUUGCUUGGAACUGCAAUGAGGUUGCUAUCUCCAGCCCCUAUGUUGGCCAACACCACAUCACGACCCUAGUAUCCUCCACCUCCGGCGCGCACCCUUGGUGGAUCAUUAGUGUCUACAGCCCGCAGGAGGACGAUGAGAAGAUCUUAUUCCUCGAGGACCUACAAGACACUUGUGCUUCUUGCGCUGGCCCAUGGCUCCUUGGGGGCGACUUCAGCCUUGUCUCCUCUUCUGUUGAUAAGACUAACGGGCGUAUUAACCGGCGCACCUCCAAUAGGUUCCGCCGCUUCAUCGUCGACAUGGAGCUGCGUGAUGUGUACAUGCAUGGCCGCCGCUACAGCUGGUCCAACGAGAGGGAAUCGCCCACUCUUUUGCGAAACGACCGAUUCCUUUGCACCUCUGAGUGGGAGCUCGCACAGCCACAUUCCAUCCUCUGA
rnacentral:rRNA from 1 species